UACGUAGGGUGCGAGCGUUAAUCGGAAUUACUGGGCGUAAAGCGUGCGCUAGGCGGUUCGUUGUGUCGGUGGUGAAAUCCCCGGGCUUAACCUGGAAUGGCCAUGGAAACUGGCGAACGUGGAGUGUGGCAGAGGGGGUGGGAAGUUCCGCGUGUAGCAGUGAAAUGCGUAGAGAUGCGGAGGAACACCGAUGGCGAAGGCAGCCCCUGGGCUAACACUGACGCUCAGGCACGAAAGCGUGGGGAGCAAACAGG
rnacentral:rRNA from 1 species